rnacentral:rRNA from 1 species
AUGUUUUCCUCGCAGUCCAUGAGACGCAUGAAUAAUAUCAGGACGGUGCUCAUCAACGUGCAGAAGGGCAACCAGACGGUUGCUGCCUACUUCGCCUCCCUCCGUGGUCUCGCCGACGAGCUUGCCGCAGCGGGGAAGGCCAUCCAAGACGACGAACUCAUCUCCUACAUCAUCCACGGCCUUGACGUUGACUACCAGCCCCUUGUCUCCACCCUCGACGCACGCGUCAUGCCGGUCUCCCUCAAUGAGCUCUACGCCAUGCUUAGCAACUUCGACCAGCGCAUGGCCCAGUUCAAUCACUUGGGCAGUGGCGGCUUCCGUUCCUCUACCAACGCCGCGGUCCGUGGCCGUGGUGGCAGAUCACGGCGCUCUGGAGGUCACGGUGGUGGUGGAAACAUCGGCGGCGGCAACAGCCGCUCUGACGCAUCCCGCGGUCGUCGUGGCGGCGGUCCACCUCGGGCCCGACCGGAGCUGCCUCGCUGCCAAAUUUGCAGUAAGCCAGGGCACACCACGAGGGAUUGCUGGUAUCAUUAUGAUGAAGCCAACGAGGACUCCCAAGAUGAAGAAAAAGUGGCUGCCACAGCGGAUGGAUCCUAUGGCAUCGACACAAAUUGGUACGUUGAUAGUGGCGCCACCAACCACAUCACCAAUGAGCUUUAUAAGGUCAUGAUGAAAGAAAAAUACUAUUGA